AUUUUUUUUUUUUAGAGAUGGUAGGGUUAUCUGUUGGAGAAAGGAACUUUAUUAAGGGUGGUAUUGCCCAGGAUCUGCGUAAUGAUGGUAGAAAACGGCUAACUUAUCGGCCAAUUUAUGUGGAAACAGGUGUUAUUCCUCAGGCAAAUGGAUCUGCGAAAGUCAAGUUGGGUGCAACUGAUGUUAUUGCCAGUGUCAAGGCGGAACUUGGAAAACCAAGUUUGUCUCAUCCUGAUCAAGGAAAGGUUUUUAUUUACGUAGAGUGCAG
rnacentral:misc_RNA from 1 species